GUAUUGUAUGAAGGGAGAAGUUAGUGUUCCCCUUGAUGAAGGUGCAAGAGAACCUAGUGGCCUUUCCAACAUAUGAGCAGCUAAGAUGUUGCCACCUAUUCUGUGGCAUCUAACCCUCUUUUUAG
ensembl:snRNA